rnacentral:rRNA from 1 species
AACGAACGCUGGCGGCAGGCUUAACACAUGCAAGUCGAGCGCCCCGCAAGGGGAGCGGCAGACGGGUGAGUAACACGUGGGAACGUACCUUUUGCUACGGAAUAGCUCCGGGAAACUGGAAUUAAUACCGUAUGUGCCCUUCGGGGGAAAGAUUUAUCGGCAAAAGAUCGGCCCGCGUCUGAUUAGCUAGUUGGUGGGGUAAUGGCCUACCAAGGCGACGAUCAGUAGCUGGUCUGAGAGGAUGAUCAGCCACACUGGGACUGAGACACGGCCCAGACUCCUACGGGAGGCAGCAGUGGGGAAUAUUGGACAAUAGGCGCAAGCCUGAUCCAGCCAUGCCGCGUGAGUGAUGAAGGCCUUAGGGUUGUAAAGCUCUUUCGCUAGGGAAGAUGAUGACGGUACCUGAAGAAUAAGCACCGGCUAACUACGUGCCAGCAGCCGCAGUAACAC